rnacentral:misc_RNA from 1 species
AUAAAAAGUGUUGUGAAAACGGCGGUUUGUGCAUCCUAGGCAGCUUCUGUCAUUGUAAAAAACAGUUUUACGGCCGAUACUGCCAGUACACGCACAAUCUGCGAGCGUGCGGCUCGGUGAAACACGGAGCGUGGCUGAAAUCAAAUUGCGAUCUCUGUCGGUGUUACAACGGUCGCAUCAUGUGUAUACAGAAAGCAUAUAACAAUUGUGAUAUAAAGAAGCAUGGAAAUGACUUGGAUCCUUUAGAUCCGUCCAACAACAUUUACAUAUUUCAAGAUGACCAAGAAAAUGAACUUUACGAUGACGAUUAUUUCGCUGAAAGUGCCGCGUCACGAAAAUUUCCCAUAAUGCUUGCAGUUGUGAUAGCUUGUAUUCUCGGACUGAUCGUCUGACAGGAGCAGCGACGUCACAUUUCCCUAACCUAUGUCGUGCAAUAAAGACUCGUAUCUCCCUAGCGGAGGCUAAAUAUAUUUCCCGGUGCAUUCCAAGAGUCGCUAUAAGUGACCAUGUUAGUGCCAGUAUACUUAAAGGUGUUUAUGAUUGGCUAGUUGGUAUAUUAAAUAUAUCUACUAGCAGACAAUAUAUUAAACAGUAGUAAGUGAAAGAACGAAAAGAGUGCAA